rnacentral:misc_RNA from 1 species
AAGGGCCGCAGUAUUUUGACUGUGCAAAGGUAGCAUAAUAAAUAGUUUUUUAAUUAAAAGCUUGUAUGAAAGAUUGGACGAGAUAAAUUCUGUCUCUUAGUAAUUUAAAUUAAAAUUUAAUUUUUAAGUAAAAAAGCUUAAAUAUUUAUAAAAGACAAGAAGACCCUAUAGAGUUUUAUAAUUUAUUUAUAUUAUUAUUUAAUUUAUUUUUUUUAAUUUAAAUUGAUUAUUUUAUUGGGGUAAUAGAAAGAUUAGUUAAAUUCUUUUUUUUAAUUACAUUGAUUUAUGAAUUAUUGAUCCUUUAUUAUUGAUUAAAAGAUUAAAUUACCUUAGGGAUAACAGCGUAAUUUUUUUAAAGAGUUCAUAUCGAUAAAAAAGUUUGCGACCUCGAUGUUGGAUUAAAGAUUAACUUAGGUGUAGAAGCUUAAUUAUUUGGUCUGUUCGACCMUUAAAUCUUUACAUGAUCUGAGUUCAGACCGGUGUAAACCAGGUCGGUUUCUAUCUUUAUUAAAUUUUAAUAUUUUAGUACGAAAGGACCAAAUAUUAUUUAUAUAUAAAUUUUUUUUGAUUAUUAUUGUUAUUUUGGCAGAUUAGUGCAAUGGAUUUAGAUUUCAUUUAUAUAAUUAUUAAUUAUAAAUAAUAU